rnacentral:rRNA from 1 species
AUUGAACGCUGGCGGCAGGCUUAACACAUGCAAGUCGAGCGAGUGGCGGACGGGUGAGUAACGCAUGGGAAAGUGCCGGGUAGAGGGGGAUAACUAUCGGAAAGGGUAGCUAAUACCGCAUACUAUUCGAUCUGCCGAUGUUGGAUUAGCUGGUAGGUGGGGUAAAGGCCCACCAAGGCGACGAUCCGUAGCGGGUCUGAGAGGAUGAUCAGCCACACUGGGACUGAGACACGGCCCAGACUCCUACGGGAGGCAGCAGUGGGGAAUUUUGGACAAUGGGCGCAAGCCUGAUCCAGCCAUGCCGCGUGUCUGAAGAAGGCCUUCGGGUUGUAAAGUACUUUCGUCAGGGAAGCGGUACCUGAAGAAUAAGCACCGGCUAACUCCGUGCCAGCAGCCGCGGUAAUAC